rnacentral:tRNA from 1 species
GGGCGACUAGCUCAGCUGGUUAGAGCGCUGUCCUCACACGACAGAGGUCUCUGGUUCGAUCCCAGAGUCGCCCA